rnacentral:lncRNA from 1 species
CUUUUCAUUAUUUUAUUUUAUUUUUUUUUUUUUUGUCAUUCAGGUGAUCAGAGUAUUUCAGAAUACCUAGCAUAUGCUUCAAAAGUCACCAAAGAAGAUCAUGGUACCAAAAAAACGGACUCAAUUGCCCAAAAUAUUUUAAAAUUUAAUAAAAGAUUAUUUCAUCGUUUUGGUCACCACCGUAAUAAAAAACGCAACAACCGCAAGAGCCAUCACUUUCGUCUUAAGCUCCCUAAUCUCUAUAAACACCGCCAGCACCAUAAAAACCAUAAGCUUCAUCAUGAUGAUAACUACAAUGACCAACAUGACACUGACCACCAUCAAGACCAUCAUGAUAGUGGGCAUGACAGCAAGCAGAACAAUCAAUGGCAACAUGAUCAAAACGGCUCUGAUAAUGAUGACCGCCAUGGCCGCAAUGACAACCAAGAGCACCUGGAUCAUCACAAUGAACAGCGACAUGGCCUUGAAAACCAUAACAAAGACAAGGAGCAUGACAACUACCACAAGCAUCACAGCCAUCAUGACAUAGACAGUAAUCAUGAUUAUGAUCAAGAUGAUGAUGAUGAACAUGACAAUGACCACCAGCACGGCCACAAAUAUCACAGCCAACAUGAAAAGGACCACGAUCAAGACCAUGAACAUGACCAUGAUCACCAGCACAGACACAAACAUCAUGACAAGGACCAUGAUAAAGACCACGACCAUGACUACAAUAAAGACCAUGACAAACAGCACAGCCAUAAACAUCACAAACAUCAUGCGCAAGAUAGUGAUCAUGACCAUGACCACGAAAAUCACCAUGACCAACAGCACAGCCACAAACAUCAUGACAAGGACACUGAUCAAGACAGCGACCAUGACCAUGACCAUGGCCAAGAUCAUGACCAACAACACAGACACAAACAUCAUGACAAGGACCAUGAUAAAGACCACGGCCAUGACCACAAUAAAGACCAUGACAAACAGCACAGCCAUAAACAUCACAAACAUCAUGCGCAAGAUAGUGAU